UAAUGAAAAAGGCAAACUUAUUGAAAAAUAAGGACGCAAAGCCACGGGUCUACUGUUGAUUUAACUAAGAUCGCCGGGCUACCGAA
rnacentral:ncRNA from 2 species